AUAGAUUAUAAUCUCAAAAAAUUGAAAUUUAAGAUUAGUGAAGGAUUUCAUGAUUUGGUAAUAUUUGCUUAUUAAAUUGAAGAAAAAAUUAGUAAGAAUAAUUUAGACUUGAAUACCCACACAUAAUUCAAAUUUUGAAUUAAUUAAAUAAUUUAACAAAAAGAAAUCUUUGUUGAAAGAUCAAUGUUGAAGUCAAAAAAGGAAAGAAGCCAACAAUUGAGAGGUUUUGGGAGCUUUUCUUAUAAUUGAUAUAUGCAAUCUUCUUCAAAUUUUUUGUGCUUAUUAAUUUAGUUGUUGCAAAGCUAAAAAAUUUUAAAUCAAAAUCAAGAGUUCAAGUAUUAGUUAUUAAACUUUCAAUCAAUUGUAAGAUUUAUUAAGAAUUUAUUUAAGAUUUACGAUUUGAUUAAAGAUUGAUUAGUA
rnacentral:lncRNA from 1 species